UACGUAGGGUGCGAGCGUUGUCCGGAAUUAUUGGGCGUAAAGAGCUUGUAGGCGGUUUGUCGCGUCUGCCGUGAAAAUUCGAGGCUCAACCUCGAACUUGCGGUGGGUACGGGCAGACUAGAGUGUGGUAGGGGAGACUGGAAUUCCUGGUGUAGCGGUGAAAUGCGCAGAUAUCAGGAGGAACACCGAUGGCGAAGGCAGGUCUCUGGGCCGAAACUGACGCUGAGGAGCGAAAGCGUGGGGAGCGAACAGG
rnacentral:rRNA from 1 species